ACCAUUUCCCGUACGAACACCGAAGUUAAGAAAACUCGAGUCGGGUCAGUAUCUAGAUGGGUGACCGCUUGGGAAUACCG